AACAUAUUUAAUAUAAUAUAUUUAAACGUAUGCACAUUCAGAGACCUUGUGAAUGUGGCUUGCAGUGAAAGGAGGCUUGACUGAACUGAGGCAGAAGCUACUAUUUUGCCAGUGAGUGUUUUCUGGAAGUAAUGAAGGAGGAGGUGAUGGCUUGACAAGCAAAACUUCAUUGGACAGAGCCACCUCCUGUGUCUUCUAGAAGUUCACCGUAUCUCCUGUCAAUGUUCUUCAUUACCUGGAAGAAGAGGGCAUGAGAAUGAAAAAGAAGCUGAACCCUAUAUAUUGAAGAUGGGAAUAAAAGAAGCUAAUUUUAACUGUUAAGCACCACUGCAUGCAGUGUUCAUUAUUUUCCUUUACUGGUGGGGGAAUUAGAGCACACUCCUUAAAAGUGCAGUUCUAAGUUUCCAUCAGAACUGUGCUGCCAGGGACUAUACUAUUACAAGCCAUAUGUUAAUACAGGUGCUUCAUAUUUUCCUGCAUGGAGACCUCAGAGCAGCCUUCCAGUAUCG
rnacentral:lncRNA from 14 species